rnacentral:rRNA from 1 species
GACGUAGGUGGCGAACGUUAUCCGGAAUUAUUGGGCGUAAAGGGUGCGUAGGCGGCAUGAUAAGUUAUUGGCGGCAAAUCGAGGCUCAACCUCGUGGAAACUGAUAAUACUGUCUUGCUUGAGUGCAGAAGAGGUUAACGGAACUCCAUGUGGAGCGGUAAAAUGUGUAGAUAUAUGGAAGAACAUCAAUAACGGCGAAGGCAGUUAACUAUUCUGUUACUGACGUUGAGGCACGAAAAGCGUGGGGGAGCAAAAAGG